AGAUUUGAUGGAGUCUCGAUCUAAGGAGAUGACGGCGAAAGAAGUCGUCGGAGGAGAAGGAGAAGUUGACUACAUAGUAAACCUUAUGAGAAUUACAGCUUAUACCCAUACCAAAGGAAUUUCCCUUUAAUUAGUUGAUAUGUUUGCGGCCGAACACUUCACCAUCGACAUCAACACCAUCACCAUCACCGAUUCUACUUCUUCUACAAUCGACGGAUCCAAAAGGGAGCACAUACUCUCGUCUCGCAAUUGAUGAUGGAUUCUGGGGUCGAUGAGGCUGAAGAAGGGGAUGCGGAGGAGCAGUGACGUUGUUGUGGGGUCUAUGAACACGAAUGAGAAGCGAGGAGCAAACGGUGAGGAAAUCCCGACGAUUGUAGGUACUUGGAUGGAGGUAUCCUCCGACAGCCUCCUGUUCUUUCUUUGGUCCGGUAAUCCAACAACUAGGGGGUAUAACUGGAAAUUAUUUACCUCAAUCGAGAUUGAGUUUAUCUCGAUUUUGAUUCAAGAUCGAGAUUGUGUUCAUCAUCUUAUUAAAUUCGAUUUCUUCAAUGGUUUAUUUCUGUUCAAUUGAAGAAAUAUUCUGAUACAACUUGCACUUCACAGUCAUAAGUUGGAUUUUGUUUCGAAAAAGUCAAAAUUUGUGUUCAUAUUUCUAAAUCGAUAAUGUAAAUGUGUGUUUGUUUCUUGAAUUCAUGAAUGGGAAUGAAUGCAUAUGUGUGUUGAUGAUUCAA